GGAAUUCCUGUGGUUUAUUCCACGUGGGAAUGAGAAAUGGGGAUUCCUGAAAUCUUGGAAUUACCAUGGAGUUAAUUCCAGUUGGGAAGCAGGAAUGGAUAUUUCCAUGAAAUCCUGGGAUUAAUUCCAUAGGGAAGCAGGAAUUGAUAUUUUCCUGAAAUCCUGGGAUUUUCAAGGAGUUAAUUCCAUGUGGGAAGCAGGAAUGGAUGUUUUGAUGCCAUCCAGCCCAAAUUCCCCCCAAAUUCCAAGUCCCCUCUCAAAUCCCAGUCCAAUUCCAUCUUUUUUUCCCCUCUAGAACAUUCCCAGGCCCUCGGAGCAUCCAUGGGACAGAAAUUCCUUUUCCAGAGCAGGAAAACUCCUGGGAAUGGUCACUCAACUCUUAUCCAGCUUUUCUCCAGGAAUUCUGUGGAGAUCAAGAAUCUGUAAUUGGGAAUAUUUAGGAAUAUCCAGCAGUGCAUGGAGCAGGAAAACCGGGAUUAAUU